UACGUAGGGUCCGAGCGUUGUCCGGAAUUACUGGGCGUAAAGAGCUCGUAGGUGGUUUGUCGCGUUGUUCGUGAAAACUCACAGCUCAACUGUGGGCGUGCGGGCGAUACGGGCAGACUGGAGUACUGCAGGGGAGACUGGAAUUCCUGGUGUAGCGGUGGAAUGCGCAGAGUAUCAGGAGGGAACACCGGUGGCGAAGGCGGGUCUCUGGGGCAGUAACUGACGCUGAGGAGCGAAAGCGUGGGGAGCGAACAGG
rnacentral:rRNA from 1 species